rnacentral:rRNA from 1 species
UCCUGACUGACCGAUAGUGAACCAGUACCGUGAGGGAAAGGCGAAAAGAACCCCGGCGAGGGGAGUGAAAAAGAACCUGAAACCGUGUACGUACAAGCAGUGGGAGCACGCUUAGGCGUGUGACUGCGUACCUUUUGUAUAAUGGGUCAGCGACUUAUAUUCUGUAGCAAGGUUAACCGAAUAGGGGAGCCGAAGGGAAACCGAGUCUUAACUGGGCGUUAAGUUGCAGGGUAUAGACCCGAAACCCGGUGAUCUAGCCAUGGGCAGGUUGAAGGUUGGGUAACACUAACUGGAGGACCGAACCGACUAAUGUUGAAAAAUUAGCGGAUGACUUGUGGCUGGGGGUGAAAGGCCAAUCAAACCGGGAGAUAGCUGGUUCUCCCCGAAAGCUAUUUAGGUAGCGCCUCGUGAAUUCAUCUCCGGGGGUAGAGCACUGUUUCGGCAAGGGGGUCAUCCCGACUUACCAACCCGAUGCAAACUGCGAAUACCGGAGAAUGUUAUCACAGGAGACA